rnacentral:lncRNA from 1 species
AUGCACUCCAACAUUCCUUCGACAAAUUUCGAGCUAAUGGGAAGGGAAUUGAGAAGAUGUCUAGCACAAAAAUGUUAUGGGAGGAAUUUUAGGACUCCUGCUCAGGGAUUUGUUGUUAGCAGUUUAGGGGCACAUAAUUCUCGAUUUCUGGGACUUGCCUUCCAUGAUGAGGAGGAAAAGGAAAGUGUGAGAAACAGAAUGAGAGAGAGUGCCCAGGAUAGCCUGAAACCUUAUACAUUACAGGAGGACUCAUCUUCAAGAAAACUCAGUGCUGCUGAGAGUACCCAAGAGGAAAAAGAGGAGGACUCAUCUUCAAGAAAACUCAGUGCUGCUGAGAGUACCCAAGAGGAAAAAGAGGUGAGCAGAAAUAACAGUCACAAAUUGGAGUGUAGGGAAGACACAUUUGGACAAUUAUUCUACAAAGUGGCUACCCAUUCUUUGUCACUGAAUUAUCACUCUACAAUAGGAAUAAAAGCCCCGAGUUACUAGGAUCAAGAUGAUUCUUGACCUUUCUGGUCAUCAUUCAACUGUAUUUACCCUCCUACCAAGCACAAAAAAGCUUUGUGAGGAAUUUUAGGACUCCUGCUCAGGGAUUUGGUGUUAGCAGUUUAGGGCACAUAAUUCUCGAUUUCUGGGACUUGCCUUCCAUGAUGAGGAGGAAAAGGAAAGUGUGAGAAACAGAAUGAGAGAGAGUGCCCAGGAUAGCCUGAAACCUUAUACAUUACAGGAGGACUCAUCUUCAAGAAAACUCAGUGCUGCUGAGAGUACCCAAGAGGAAAAAGAGGUGAGCAGAAGUAACAGUCACAAAUUGGAGUGUAGGGAGGACACAUUUGGACAAUUAUUCUACAAAGUGGCUACCCAUUCCUUGUCACUGAAUUAUCACUCUACAAUAGGAAUAAAAGUCAAAAGUACUUUGACCA